UACGAUUAUCUCGCGUCAAAUUAGGUAAUAGGUAUCUGUGACUAAAUAAAUUUACCUAGCCUUAUUUGUAAUUUGUCUUAAACGUAACAAAUCACAAGGGCCAUGAAAGAAAGGCCUUCCAUCUUUGUAUGGCAGCAGUGCGUAAAAUUUGUCAAUACGUGAAAGCGUGAACAUGAUGUUUAUUAAAGCAAAUAUUUAUAUAUAAUUGUUAAAGUUCCGGCCAAUUCCGUGCCAGCAGCCGCGGUAAGACGGAAGGAGCUAGCUUAUUACGUAAGGAAUAGGUUUAAUCGAGUGUAGGUGUAAUAGUCAUAUAAGUGUAGCAUAAUUUAGUGUGUAACAGUUAAAUGUUGAAAAAUACUAAGGAAUGUCAACGGUGGAGACAGCUUAUCUUACAAUUACGCGCCAACGCUAAUUUUAUUAGCGUUGGCUUGCCGGUGUAACCGGGAUAUUAUCUUAUAGAUUUUAUCUAUAGACUUAAAAUUGAAACUCGGAAGUUCAGGUAGCAAACCGGAUUAGAUACCCGACAUAGUCUGAACCGUCAAAAUGAUGAUUAAAUAAAUAAUCAUAUACCUGGUGAUACGUUCUCAAGAAUUGUAAUCAUAGAAAUUGGCAGCCAUAGACAUAUGCUGUGGAUCAUGCGGUUUAAUAGGAAGCAACGCCUAAAACCUUACCAUUCUUUAAAA
rnacentral:rRNA from 12 species